rnacentral:tRNA from 1 species
GAGGGUAUAGCUCAAGUGGUAGAGUGCAUGCUUAGCAUGUAUCCGGUCCUAGGUUCAAUUCCCAGUACCUCCU